AAAAAAAAAGAAAAAAAGAAUUUGUAUGGAAGAUAUUGAAAACCAUAGAAUUUCAGAUUAUCAAAAGAAAAAGACAGCAGGCAUCUUUAGGGAUUAAACAAACCGAGCUUUGACUAGCUUAGGCUCAGCUCGUUGGUAGUUUCUAAAACUCGAACUCGGCUCAUUUAAAAUUUAUUAAAUUCAAGGUCGAUUAGAGCUCAGCUCAUUUUAAGUUCGUCUAUAAUAUUAACAAGCCAAACUCGAGUUCAGCUCGUUUAUUAGCUCAGGCUCAAUAAGCUCAUUUAAACAAGCAUGAGUUCAAGUUCGAGCUUGACUUUUACAGUACCUAUCUUCCAAUCACAUCAUUAUAAGAUUCCUUAGUCAUAAAAAAAAUUAAAAAAAAAUAACAGGGAAAAAAAUCAGUUUACAACACAUUACAACUAAAUUAAAAAGAAGAAAAAACAUAUUACAACACCAUAAAUCAAAUAAAACUAAAUAGUUCCAUCAAAGACACAAAUUCAGAUUAAUUUAUAUGGUGUUUUAAAUAGCUCUUAGUUACACGAGCACAGAGGACUUUUUUCCCCUGAAUUAUAUGUUGGAAGUGCUCCUGAAUGACCCAAGAGAUAUGCUGGUGGUAAAAUGCAUCAACUGCAGCACCAAUGAAAG
rnacentral:misc_RNA from 1 species